rnacentral:rRNA from 1 species
UGGGUAACCUGCCUCAAAGAGGGGAAUAGCCUCCCGAAAGGGAGAUUAAUACCGCAUAAUAUGUUUAGGUCGCAUGACUUUAACAUCAAAGGUAUUUUUCUUUUUAAGAAAUUCCACUUUGAGAUGGACCCCGCGGCGCAUUAGCUAGUUGGUGAGGUAACGGCUCACCAAGGCGACGACGGGUAGCUGGUCUGAGAGGAUGGCCAGCCCACUAGUUGGGGACUGGAACGAAACCGGCCCCAAGACCCUCCCCGGAAGGGGACGG